rnacentral:lncRNA from 1 species
GGUUGUUUGUACAGUUAAUUAAGGCUGAUAGACCACUAUUGUUCAAUAUUGUUUUAACACUGUUGAACCAGGUGUUCUUGUAGCGUGUGGAAAGAUCGGUAUCCCAAAGGAAUACUUUACGACUGAUCCUGAAAUCAGACAAUUUCAUAAGUCUACACCAUAAACGAACUAUAUUACAUUGAUUGUUUACAAGUAUAGAAGUCAAUCCU